GACCAAUGGGAGCCGCGAAGCCGCCGGCCUCGCUCCAGAAACUUGGCUGCGGAAACGUUCGCUGUCCCAGCCAGGAAAACAAACCAGAGGUCCUUCACCCCCCAGCCCUAAGUUUUCUUUCUUACCCUGCCUACCCGCCCCCUUUCCCUUUGCAACUUGUCACCAUUCCCAGCUGAUGCAUGCUUUAGUCGCCAAAUUCUGACGCCGACGGAGGGCCUUUUCAGAAGGUCAUCUCUUCCCACCCAAGGGGGAAGUCUCGUUAGAGGAUCCAACCCAAAAUUCUACAUUCCAGUUAGUUGCCGUGUCUCCUUAGACUACUAUUGAAAGGGGCCGGGCAAGGAUCAGACUACACAGGUCGCGGUCAAGAGAUCUUUAUUGGAGGUAUCGAGCAGAGAAGGAAGAGAAGAGAAGAGAAGAGAAGAGAAGAGAAGAGAAGAGAAGAGAAGAGAAGAGAAGAGAAAAGAAGAGGGAGAAGAGAAGAGAGAGCUGCUGGUGUGCUGGGUUUCAUAUCCCUUGGGCCUACGUGGGGCAGGCCCAAGGGAAGGCGGGAGAUGCUUCUUUCUGAUUGGCCCUCCUUUGGCGGGUUCAGACAGUGCCCGGUCAAGGAGGGGAGAAGAACCCGGAACCGGCGCCAUUAAGAAUUGCAAGGAGUGGCAUCAGCACAUCUUUGUACAGUAGGCGAAUAUAUUUGGAAUGCUUAUUUCUGAGAGCUGUUGAAGACGACUAACAAUUUUACACCACGCAGAAGGACUGACAAUAAAUUUAGGAGUGGCAAAUGAAACCACUGUUCUGUUUCCCUCUCGGUAAAUAAAUAACUGCAAAACCUGUACUCCAAUACCAGAGCGUCAAAUCCAUGGCGCUCUGUUGAUUAACACCAAAAACGUCUUUGUGAAGACGAUACAUUUAGAAGAGUCCUAAGGCUCGCAACAGAAGCUGACACUGAAGGUUUAUUUUAAUGCAGCACAAAUCAGAGUGAACGAUGUGAAAAGAGUUCUGUUUCUCCUGGAAGGAUGCCACUUGUUUCUACUCCUGGGGAAAUGUCUUCCAAGCUCUUUAGCAAAUCUGCAAGCUGAACCAACUCAACUGUGGCUGCCUUGCCCACCUGAAGACCUCAGGAUCCACCAGCAGCCCAAGACAUCUCGGAAGCUGGUGCAAGGACUACUGAUUAAAUGAAGCCUUCGAUGAAGUGCAUGCAGUUUGGAGCUUGAUUCAUGGGAAUUCUCAUCACAGACUGAAUGUAUAACCCAGGGUCUCUGAGUUUUUGGGAAUGCACUGUGUAAAAGUAUCUACUUGUAACUGUUACACCCUGAGUUGUUGUUGUUGUUUUAGAAACUUCCAAGAAGAAGCUUAGCCUUGGAAAAAACAAAAACUGGUUGAAUCCAGAAGUGGAGAUGAAUUUUGGCCAGCUCUCCUCACUGCCACACUAAAAACCCUGCUCAGAGAAGCGCUUAUUCACCAUUUUCUAUUCAUGCAAUGUGUGUAGAAGCAUGAUCUACAAUAGCAUGCGUGCUGCCUUUACCCUAUCUCUGCAUACAAUGACUCAGUUAACCUGCUGAAUAAAAGCCCUGUUUUCACCUUUGCUAGGGGAGGUGCUGCUUUGGGAACGUUCCCAGUGUCCUCUAAACUUUUUGCAAGUAAUAGAAUACACUUGUUAAAUCCUACUUGGUUGUGGUCAUUAUAGUGUCACCUGCCAAGCAAUCAAUCCCACCCAGGGUUAACAAAUGCGGAAUAACAAAUGUCAGGUUUUAGGCAAGUUACUUACUCACUCAAAAUAUGAAGAUAUAAGUUACCAUCAGUUGUCAAUCAUGGUGGGCUUUGUUCUGCUGCAGUAACAGACAAUCGCAACUGUUAGUAGCUCUAAAUGACCAAUUUAAAUAACACCUCAUCUUUAUAGUUUUGAUAGCGAUAGGAGGCAGCCAAAUGCCUAGGCAGAUAGGGGCAGCUUCCCCGUGAAACUCCAUCUCCAAGCCAAAGACAGUUUACAGCCUGAAAGCCAAGCUCCAACUUAAAUCCUCAGACUGGAUUGAGAACUUGUCUUCCUGUCUGGUGUGCUUUUCUCUGAUUGGAGCCCACCAUUCACCUAUUUCAUAUACAUCUAACCUUUUCUAAUUUGUUUUCUAUACUGUCAUGCCCACCUUUGAGUGGUCUUUGCUUUAACCUUUUCUGCGUAUACACAAACCGAUCAGCAUGCAUCCCCCAUUCUGAGUCCAUGAAAGGCUCUGGAUCUAGCCACACAGGGGAACUUUCCCAUCUUCAGGUAGGGGGGCCAGCCCCAACAUGUCCCCUCUCCACCAAAAGCUCUUUUUGUUGUUCAGUAAAAUUCUUCUCUGCCUUCCUCACCUUUCAAUGUCCAGCUUAUCCUCAUUCUUCUUGGGUGUGGUACAAGAGCACAGGAACCACUGAAGGUGGGUACAAGUUAUAACACAGGCAAUUGGGGGCAUGCCAGCACUAGCUGAGUGAGGCCUAGGUCGAGGAUUACUGUCAAGGGAUCCCUGGCUUGCAAAGUGACGAAGAAGAAAAGUCUUAAAUUAGUUUGGCUAGGGUGAGGCCCUGACCUCUGUUACCUUCACUUAGCCAUCUCGCUAAUGGUGACUCUGUAUUGAUAGGCACUUCACCCAGAAAUUGUGCAGUCACAUUUCCUGACCAAAGAAAGUUACUCAGCUAUGCCUGAUUUUAAACUGCAAUCCUAACAUGACGCAGAAGGUGAAGAGCCAGAAAUAUUUGAUGACUAUACUGAGUCCACUUUCCCUCACAGGCUUGUUUUGCAGGGUUAAUGAUUUAAGCCAUGUGAUGUAUGGUUCACAGAGUACCUGGAACCUGCCAAGUAUUCUUCCGCCAGGAGUUGGUAGAUCCUUGAGGGCACUCUCUGGUUUAGACAUUCUUAGCUCCUUCCACUGUUCCUCAUGCUACAUUAUCUUAAAUCUUUUCAUUUUUACCAUCCUGGUUCGUCUCCUCUAAAAAUUCUACCCAAAUGUCCCUAUUAAUCCGUGAUCCACCAGAAACAAACAAUCUUGCAGCUGAAUACAGAACCCAAGAGAACAAAAUGAUCUCCUUCCUUCUUCUAGAUAAUGCAUCCAAAAAUCUGACUUUUUUUUUCUUUUCUGGCAAUCAGAGUGCACUGUUGAAUUUACUGUCAAUUAAACAUUCUCCCUCUCUUCUAUGUAUUUUUCUGUAUUUAGACAUUUUUCUCCAAUCCCAUACUUGUGUCAUUAGCUUUUCAGUCACAAAUAAAAGAAGUUUCACAUUGUUCCUUAUUAAAGAGCAUCUGUUUGACUUGGCCCAUUCUUCCCACCAGUUAUAAUUCAGACCAAGGUUGUUAUCAUCCAACGUCCAAACAAACACUAUGGAAUGGGAGAGGUAUGAAAGCAUUCAUCCCAACAAACAAUGGUAUCACCAUUUUGGAAGGCAUCUUUUUUAUUUCAUUUUUUAACAGCUG